GGAAUCUUCCACAAUGGGCGCAAGCCUGAUGGAGCAACACCGCGUGAGUGAAGAAGGGUUUCGGCUCGUAAAACUCUGUUGUUAAAGAAGAACGUAUCUAAGAGUAACUGCUUAGGUAGUGACGGUAUUUAACCAGAAUGCCACGGCUAACUACGUGCCAGCAGCCGCGGUAAUACGUAGGUGGCAAGCGUUAUCCGGAUUUAUUGGGCGUAAAGCGAGCGCAGGCGGUUUAAUAAGUCUGAAGUUAAAGGCAGUGGCUUAACCAUUGUUCGCUUUGGAAACUGUUAGACUUGAGUGCAGAAGGGGAGAGUGGAAUUCCAUGUGUAGCGGUGAAAUGCGUAGAUAUAUGGAGGAACACCGGUGGCGAAAGCUGCUCUCUGGUCUGUAACUGACGCUGAGGCUCGAAAGCGUGGGGAGCAAACA
rnacentral:rRNA from 1 species